rnacentral:rRNA from 1 species
CCUUAUACGACCGUACCGCAAACCGACACUGGUGCGCGAGAUGAGUAUUCUAAGGCGCUUGAGAGAACUCAGGAGAAGGAACUCGGCAAAUUGACACCGUAACUUCGGAAGAAGGUGUGCCCUAUUAGUGUGUAGUGAACAACGAAGCAUGAAUGGGUUGCAAAAAAUCGGUGGCUGCGACUGUUUAUUAAAAACACAGCACUCUGCAAACACGAAAGUGGACGUAUAGGGUGUGACGCCUGCCCGGUGCUGGAAGAUUAAAUGAUGGGGUGCAAGCUCUUGAUUGAAGUCCCAGUAAACGGCGGCCGUAACGAUAUCGGUCCUAAGGUAGCGAAAUUCCUUGUCGGGUAAGUUCCGACCUGCACGAAUGGCGUAACGAUGGCCACACUGUCUCCUCCUGAGACUCAGCGAAGUUGAAAUGUUUGUGAUGAUGCAAUCUCCCCGCGGAAAGACGGAAAGACCCCAUGAACCUUUACUGUAGCUUUGUAUUGGACUUUGAACAGAUCUGUGUAGGAUAGGUGGGAGGCUUUGAAGCAGGGUCGCUAGAUCUUGUGGAGCCAACGUUGAAAUACCACCCUGGUGUGUUUGAGGUUCUAACCUAGGUCCAUUAUCUGGAUCGGGGACAGUGCAUGGUAGGCAGUUUGACUGGGGCGGUCUCCUCCCAAAGCGUAACGGAGGAGUUCGAAGGUACGCUAGUUACGGUCGGACAUCGUGACGAUAGUGCAAUGGCAUAAGCGUGCUUAACUGCGAGACUGACAAGUCGAGCAGAUGCGAAAGCAGGACAUAGUGAUCCGGUGGUUCUGUAUGGAAGGGCCAUCGCUCAACGGAUAAAAGGUACUCUGGGGAUAACAGGCUGAUACCGCCCAAGAGUUCAUAUCACGGCGGUGUUUGGCACCUCGAUGUCGGCUCAUCUCAUCCUGGGGCUGUAGCCGGUCCCAAGGGUAUGGCUGUUCGCCAUUUAAAGAGGUACGUGAGCUGGGUUUAAAACGUCGUGAGACAGUUUGGUCCCUAUCUUCCGUGGGCGCUGCAGAUUUGAGGAAGCCUGCUCCUAGUACGAGAGGACCGGAGUGGACACACCUCUGGUGUAUCGGUUGUCACGCCAGUGGCAUUGCCGAGUAGCUAAGUGUGGAAGAGAUAACCGCUGAAAGCAUCUAAGCGGGAAACUCGUUUCAAGAUGAGAUCUGCCGGGGCCUUGAGCCCCCUAAAGAGUCGUUCAAGACCAGGACGUUGAUAGGUCAGGUGUGGAAGC